rnacentral:rRNA from 1 species
GUGCAGCAGUCGAGAAACCUCCGCAAUGCGCGAAAGCGCGACGGGGUUACCCGAGUGCCGUCCGCUGAGGACGGCUUUUGCCCAGUGUAGCCGGCUAGGCGAAUAAGGAGAGGGCAAGUCUGGUGUCAGCCGCCGCGGUAAUACCAGCUCUCCGAGUGGUGGGGACGCUUAUUGGGCCUAAAGCAUCCGUAGCCGGUCUGGCAAGUCCCUUGUUAAAUCCAACGAUUCAAUCGUUGGACUGCAAGGGAUACUGCCAGACUAGGGGGCGGGAGAGGCCGACGGUAUUCCC